CCUACGGGAGGCAGCAGUGAGGAAUAUUGCGCAAUGGGGGCAACCCUGACGCAGCGACGCCGCGUGAGUGAGGAAGGUCUUCGGAUCGUAAAGCUCUGUCAAGAGGGAAGAAGUGCAAGGCAGCGAAUAACUGUUUUGUUUGACGGUACCUCUAAAGGAAGCACCGGCUAACUCCGUGCCAGCAGCCGCGGUAAUACGGAGGGUGCGAGCGUUGUUCGGAAUCACUGGGCGUAAAGGGCGCGCAGGCGGGCUGUCAAGUCAGAUGUGAAAUCCCACGGCUUAACUGUGGACGUGCAUUUGAAACUGGCAGUCUUGAGUACCAGAGGGGAAUGUGGAAUUCCCGGUGUAGAGGUGAAAUUCGUAGAUAUCGGGAGGAAUACCGGUGGCGAAGGCGACAUUCUGGCUGGAUACUGACGCUGAGGCGCGAAAGCGUGGGGAGCAAACAGGAUUAGAUACCCUUGUAGUC
rnacentral:rRNA from 1 species